GAUGAAGAACGCAGCGAAAUGCGAUAAGUAAUGUGAAUUGCAGAAUUCAGUGAAUCAUCGAAUCUUUGAACGCACAUUGCGCCCGCCAGUAUUCUGGCGGGCAUGCCUGUCUGAGCGUCAUUUCAACCCUCAUGCCCCUAGGGCGUGGUGUUGGGGAUCGGCCAAAGCCCGCGAGGGACGGCCGGCCCCUAAAUCUAGUGGCGGACCCGUCGUGGCCUCCUCUGCGAAGUAGUGAUAUUCCGCAUCGGAGAGCGACGAGCCCCUGCCGUUAAACCCCCAACUUUCCAAGGUUGACCUCAGAUCAGGUAGGAAUACCCGCUGAACUUAAGCGUAUCAAUAAGCGGAGGA
rnacentral:misc_RNA from 1 species